CGAUCUAUGGCUCCCACUGCUCUGAAAGUGUAACAAAGUAAAGGAGACAAAUCGUGGCUCAAAUUGUAUCCCCAUUCUACGCCAUAUUGAACGUCUCUCAAUUAGUGGGUUAUAUAAACCAAAGAACUAAGCCGCUUCUCUUCUUCGCAGACGCAAAUCUCAGUUGAUUUUGAAGGUAUAUGCGAAUUAUCAAGUUUUGAUUGCUUUCUGAAGUUGAAAAAGAAAUCAUCGAGAUUUCUAGAUGGGACUGCCACUUUUACCAGGCUGGAGUCUGUUUUGAUUUCCCAUUCAUAAGUUCAGGGAUGUAAGUGUUAAUGAUCGAUGGCAGUUAAAUGAUGUUGCAAAGAACUCUUCAUGCACGCUUAAUCAACCCAAUGUUUAUGGACCAACCAUUCCUCGGUGGGAUGGAGUUGGUUAGAACGGUGUAUGGCAGCACGAUCAUGGACUCGGGGACUCCAGAAUCAUUAGCACUGAUAAAGAACUAAUUGAACAAUCAUUAACAAAAAUAAAGGAAACGCAAAGCAGUGCUCUUUCUCUUCUCAUGCCAGCAUUAUGAUCUGCAAAAAGAAAGGAAAAAAAAACACGAUUUUGUGCCACAAAGAGUUCAAACAAGUGAUUCUUUUUUUUUUUUUUUGGUGGAGGGUGAUGUCGGUGCAGGUCUUUUUGCUGUCAAUGGGUUCUAUUAGUGGUGGUGGCAAGUGGACAUGUUGGUGCGGAUGUAAACAAUCUCAAUUGCUGCUAAUGGUGUUCAUAAUCUGUGCACUAGCAGCAAUAAUCAAGAUACAAUGUAAAUUUUAAAGUUCCAAACCAUACAUUGUGUUGUACCUUGAAUGGAUUAAACAAAAUUCAGAUAACU